GCCAGUGUGGUGUAGUGGUUUGAGCAUUGGACUACAAUUCUGGAGGCCAGGGUUCAACUCAAAGCUCAGCCA
rnacentral:tRNA from 1 species